UCAGGAACUAAUAAAAGUAUUUAGAAAAUUGGGCAGACUAGAUAGUUCGAAUGGGUCUUAUCUGCUGUCAAAUUCUAUGUUCACCCAUUCAAAAAGAAAGAAAAUCAGCAAUCAUGGCAGGGUUGGCACUGUUUUCCAUGUCCAAAUUGCUUAAAACCAACUAUAUUUCAUAGAAAGCACUCUCUCUACUCUGUGUAAAUCCAUGUGAGAGUCAG